rnacentral:rRNA from 1 species
UACGAAUGGGGCUAGCGUUGCUCGGAAUCACUGGGCGUAAAGCGCACGUAGGCGGCUUGUUAAGUCAGGGGUGAAAUCCUGGAGCUCAACUCCAGAACUGCCUUUGAUACUGGCGAGCUUGAGUUCGGGAGAGGUGAGUGGAACUGCGAGUGUAGAGGUGAAAUUCGUAGAUAUUCGCAAGAACACCAGUGGCGAAGGCGGCUCACUGGCCCGAUACUGACGCUGAGGUGCGAAAGCGUGGGGAGCAAACAGG